rnacentral:rRNA from 1 species
UACGAAGGGUGCAAGCGUUACUCGGAAUUACUGGGCGUAAAGCGUGCGUAGGUGGUUUGUUAAGUCUGAUGUGAAAGCCCUGGGCUCAACCUGGGAAUGGCAUUGGAUACUGGCGAGCUAGAGUGCGGUAGAGGGUAGUGGAAUUCCCGGUGUAGCAGUGAAAUGCGUAGAGAUCGGGAGGAACAUCUGUGGCGAAGGCGACUACCUGGACCAGCACUGACACUGAGGCACGAAAGCGUGGGUAGCAAACAGG